rnacentral:ncRNA from 1 species
GGGAGGGUAACUGACCGUGGGAAGGAAGCGUGGAGCAUAAAUCAUGAGCCGAUGAACAAGAACUGCAUAGAAGGCGCUGCCGAUCAGGGCGAGCGGGCCAUAAACCGCGAAGCUCUUGUGGUCAAGGAGAGGUGGCGUAAAUGCAGCGGUUGUGUGAUGAAGGAGUGCGGC